CAUGAAUUUUUUUCUGUGCACACAACCAUAAAUGCUUUCUUUAUUACAAACAGGUUUUAAAGUAACUAUAAUUUGCAAUAUGCUACAAAAGACCAAAUAUAUGAAAAAAUGGAUUGGCUUCUCCAUUAUGACAAUACACUGUGCUGCAGUGCUCUGCGAAUAUAGAGAAUUUUCAGUGAAUGACAACAUUCCUUUGGUAUUUCAUAUUCUUCUAAUUUGGCCUGGCUGGCUCUUUCCAAAACUAAAAACAGCUAUGAAAGGAAAAAGAUUUCAACAGCUUGGAUGACAUCAUUUAACGAGAAAGCUCAAUUACAGGUCAACAAAAGCUGAAUUCUCUUGAUGUUUUGAACAAUGGCAGGCUUGCUGCAGUAUGUACAUGCCCAAAGAUGAUUAGAAUUCUUUUAGAGUAAAAGUAUGUAAAAUAAAGAUAUCUUAUUAUUAUACAAACUUUUUGAUUACUUUUUGAAUUUUAGCCAAUGGCAUCUGAUUUAAUUCUGGAUUUGGAAAAGUUUUAUUUGGAU
rnacentral:lncRNA from 1 species